rnacentral:rRNA from 1 species
AUUGAACGCUAGCGGGAUGCCUUACACAUGCAAGUCGAACGGAGUGGCGAACGGGUGAGUAAUGUAUCGGAAUGUGCCCAGUAGCGGGGGAUAACUACGCGAAAGCGUAGCUAAUACCGCAUACUAUUGGAGCGGCCGAUAUCGGAUUAGCUAGUUGGGGAGGUAACGGCUCACCAACGCGACGACCCGGAGCUGGUUUGAGAGGACGACCAGCCACACUGGGACUGAGACACGGCCCAGACUCCUACGGGAGGCAGCAGUGGGGAAUUUUGGACAAUGGGCGAAACCCUGAUCCAGCCAUCCCGCGGGGACGAUGAAGGCCUUCGGGUUGUAAAGAACUUUUGGCAGGAAAGCGGUACCUGCAGAAUAAGCACCGGCUAACUACGUGCCAGCAGCCGCGGUAAUUC